GAUGAACGCUGGCGGCGUGCCUAAUACAUGCAAGUCGAGCGAACAGACGAGGAGGUUGCUCCUCUGACGUUAGCGGCGGACGGGUGUGUAACACGAGGAUAACCUACCUAUAAGACUGGGAUAACUUUGGGAAACCGGAGCUAAUAACGGAUAAUAUAUUGUAUCGCAUGUUUCUAUGGUGAAAGACGGCUUUGCUUUCACUUAUAGAUUGAUCGACGGCGCAUUAGCUAAUUGGGAAGGUAACGGCCUGCCAAGGCAACGAUGCGUAGCCGACCUGAGAGGGUGAUCGGCCGCACUGGAACUGAGACACGGUCCAGACUCCUACGGGAGGCAGCAGUAGGGAAUCUUCCGCAAUGGGCGAAAGCUUGACGGAGCAACGCCGCGUGAGUGAUGAAGGUCUUCGGAUCGUAAAACUCUGUUAUUAGGGAAGAACAAAUGUGUAAGUAACUAUGCACGUCUUGACGGUACCUAAUCAGAAAGCCACGGCUAACUACGUG
rnacentral:rRNA from 1 species